CUACGGGUGGCUGCAGUGGGGAAUCUUAGACAAUGGGGGCAACCCUGAUCUAGCCAUGCCGCGUGAGUGAAGAAGGCCCUAGGGUUGUAAAGCUCUUUCACCUGUGAGGAUGAUGACAGUAGCAGGAUAAGAAGGACCGGCUAACUCCGUGCCAGCAGCCGCGGUAAGACGGAGGGUCCUAGCGUUGUUCGGAAUGACUGGGCGUAAAGGGUACGUAGGCGGUUUGGUCAGUUAGAUGUGAAAUCCCAGGGCUCAACCUUGGAACUGCAUUUAAUACUGCCAGACUUGAGAUCGGAAGAGGAAAGCGGAAUUCCUAGUGUAGAGGUGAAAUUCGUAGAUAUUAGGAGGAACAUCAGAGGCGAAGGCGGCUUUCUGGUCCGAUACUGACGCUGAGGUACGAAAGCGUGGGGAGCAAACAGGAUUAGAUACCCGCGUAGUC
rnacentral:rRNA from 1 species